rnacentral:rRNA from 1 species
GCAAUACGGGAGCGGCAGACGGGAGAGUAACACGUGGGAACGUACCCUUCGGUUCGGAAUAACCCAGGGAAACUUGGGCUAAUACCGGAUACGCCCGUAAGGAGAAAGAUUUAUUGCCGAGGGAUCGGCCCGCGUCCGAUUAGCUAGUUGGUGAGGUAACGGCCCACCAAGGCGACGAUCGGUAGCUGGUCUGAGAGGAUGAUCAGCCUCACUGGGACUGAGACACGGCCCAGACUCCUACGGGAGGCAGCAGUGGGGAAUAUUGGACAAUGGGCGCAAGCCUGAUCCAGCCAUGCCGCGUGGGUGAUGAAGGCCUUAGGG